UACGGGGGGGGGCAAGCGUUGUUCGGAAUUACUGGGCGUAAAGGGCUCGUAGGCGGCCAACUAAGUCAGACGUGAAAUCCCUCGGCUUAACCGGGGAACUGCGUCUGAUACUGGAUGGCUUGAGUUCGGGAGAGGGAUGCGGAAUUCCAGGUGUAGCGGUGAAAUGCGUAGAUAUCAGGAGGAACACCGGUGGCGAAGGCGGCUUUCUGGACAGUAACUGACGCUGAGGCGCGAAAGCUAGGGGAGCAAACAGG
rnacentral:rRNA from 1 species